rnacentral:rRNA from 1 species
CGGAAUAGCAUUUGAAACUGCCUUUCUAGAGGGUAGGCGGAGAAAACGGAAUUCCACAAGUAGCGGUGAAAUGCGUAGAUAUGUGGAAGAACACCAGUGGCGAAAGCGGUUUUCUAGCUUAUACCUGACGCUAAUGCGCGAAAGCAAGGGGAGCAAACAGGAUUAGAUACCCUGGUAGUCCUUGCCGUAAACGAUGUAUACUUGGUGUAGCCGAACUCAACCUUGGCUGUGCCGUAGCUAACGCGAUAAGUAUACCGCCUGGGGAGUACGCUCGCAAGGGUGAAACUCAAAAGAAUUGACGGGGACCCGCACAAGCAGUGGAGCAUGUGGUUUAAUUCGAUGCAACGCGAAGAACCUUACCCAGGUUUGGCAUGCAGAGGACAGCGCUAGAGAUAGCGACUCCCGCAAGGGUCUCUGCACAGGUGCUGCAUGGCUGUCGUCAGCUCGUGCCGUGAGGUGUUGGGUUAAGUCCCGCAACGAGCGCAACCCUUAUCAUUAGUUGCCAGCACGUGAAGGUGGGAACUCUAAUGAGACUGCCUGGGUUAACCAGGAGGAAGGCGAGGAUGACGUCAAGUCCGCAUGGCCCUUAUAUCUGGGGCUACACACGUGCUACAAUGGCCGGUACAGAGGGCAGCCAAACCGCGACAUGGAGCAAAUCCCAAAAAGCCGGCCCCAGUUCAGAUUGCAGUCUGCAACUCGACUGCAUGAAGUUGGAAUUGCUAGUAAUGGCGU